rnacentral:rRNA from 1 species
UAGGGAAUCUUCGGCAAUGGACGAAAGUCUGACCGAGCAACGCCGCGUGAGUGAAGAAGGUUUUCGGAUCGUAAAAACUCUGUUGUUAGAGAAGAACAAGGGUGAGAGUAACUGUUCACCCCUUGACGGUAUCUAACCAGAAAGCCACGGCUAACUACGUGCUAG